GACGAACGCUGGCGGCGUGCUUAACACAUGCAAGUCGAACGGAAAGGCCCUGCUUUUGUGGGGUGCUCGAGUGGCGAACGGGUGAGUAACACGUGAGUAACCUGCCCUUGACUUUGGGAUAACUUCAGGAAACUGGGGCUAAUACCGGAUAGGAGCUCCUGCUGCAUGGUGGGGGUUGGAAAGUUUCGGCGGUUGGGGAUGGACUCGCGGCUUAUCAGCUUGUUGGUGGGGUAGUGGCUUACCAAGGCUUUGACGGGUAGCCGGCCUGAGAGGGUGACCGGCCACAUGGGGACUGAGAUACGGCCCAGACUCCUACGGGAGGCAGCAGUGAGGAGUAUUGCACAAUGGGCGGAAGCCUGAUGCAGCAACGCCGCGUGCGGGAGAACGGCCUUCGGGUUGUAAACCGCUUUCGCCUGUGACGAAGCGUGAGUGACGGUAAUGGGUAAAGAAGCACCGGCUAACUACGUG
rnacentral:rRNA from 1 species